rnacentral:lncRNA from 1 species
GCACAGUCUUGAUGAAUAGAUCUUUUCCUUGAAUAAAACAGUAUGCAUUCUAUGAAGAAGAAAUGGCAUGCAUAAGGCUGAAGUCCAGAUCUCUUGGGAGAAGAUGUGGCUGCCAGAGGAACAUGCAGUGCUGGAAAACUUGCCAGAAGGCACAAGGCUGGAGGUGGUCUGAGAGGGUUUCUGAGGUGAGUGUCCCUGGCUUUCCACAUGCUGAUUUACUGGCUGUCAUAUCCAAAGAAAAGCCACACUGAAAUAGGAAGUGGGGGCUCUCCUGCUGUUAUGGCCUUGCAGUAUCCUUCCAGGACUCUCUGUUGACAGAACCUAACACUGAGCCAGAUAGCAAAGGAGAAAUGUUUAUGGGGUCUGGCUUCAGUAUCUCAGAGCAAGAA